GAUGAACGCUGGCGGCGUGCCUAAUACAUGCAAGUCGAGCGAACAGACGAGGAGCUUGCUCCUCUGACGUUAGCGGCGGACGGGUGAGUAACACGUGGAUAACCUACCUAUAAGACUGGGAUAACUUCGGGAAACCGGCGCUAAUAUCGGAUAAUAUAUUGAACCGCAUGGGUCAAUAGUGAAAGACGGUUUUGCUGUCACUUAUAGAUGGAUCCGCGCCGCAUUAGUUAGUUGGUAAGGUAACGGCUUACCAAGGCGACGAUGCGUAGCCGACGUGAGAGGGUGAUCGGCCACACGGGAACUGAGACACGGUCCAGACUCCUACGAGAGGCAGCAGUAGGGAAUCUUCCGCAAUGGGCGAAAGCCUGACGGAGCAACGCCGCGUGAGUGAUGAAGGUCUUCGGAUCGUAAAACUCUGUUAUUAGGGAAGAACAAAUGUGUAAGUAACUAUGCACGUCUUGACGGUACCUAAUCAGAAAGCAACGGCUAACUACGUG
rnacentral:rRNA from 1 species